GAUGAACGCUGGCGGCGUGCCUAAUACAUGCAAGUCGAGCGAACAGACGAGGAGCUUGCUCCUCUGACGUUAGCGGCGGACGGGUGAGUAACACGUGGAUAACCUACCUAUAAGACUGGGAUAACUUCGGGAAACCGGAGCUAAUACCGGAGAAUAUAUUGAACCGCAUGGUUCAAUAGUGAAAGACGGUUUUGCUGUCACUUAUAGAUGGAUCCGCGCCGCUUUAGCUAGUUGGUAAGGUAACGGCUUACCAAGGCGACGAUGCGUAGCCGACCUGAGAGGGUGAUAGGCGACACUGGAACUGAGACACGGUCCAGACUCCUGCGGGAGGCAGCAGUAGGGAAUCUUCCGCAAUGGGCGAAAGCCUGGCGGAGCAACGCCGCGUGAGUGAUGAAGGUCUUCGGAUCGGAAAACUCUGUUAUUAGGGAAGAACAAAUGUGUAAGUAACUAUGCACGUCUUGACGGUACCUAAUCAGAAAGCCACGGCUAACUACGUG
rnacentral:rRNA from 1 species